GGUGGGGUAAUGGCCUACCCAGCCGACGAUCCAUAGCUGGUUUGAGAGGAUGAUCAGCCACACUGGGACUGAGACACGGCCCAGACUCCUACGGGAGGCAGCAGUGGGGAAUCUUAGACAAUGGGGGAAACCCUGAUCUAGCCAUGCCGCGUGAUCGAUGAAGGCCUUAGGGUUGUAAAGAUCUUUCAGGUGGGAAGAUAAUGACUGUACCACCAGAAGAAGCCCCGGCUAACUCCGUGCCAGCAGCCGCGGUAAUACGGAGGGGGCUAGCGUUGUUCGGAAUUACUGGGCGUAAAGCGCACGUAGGCGGAUCAGAAAGUCAGAGGUGAAAUCCCAGGGCUCAACCUUGGAACUGCCUUUGAAACUCCUGAUCUUGAGGUCGAGAGAGGUGAGUGGACUUCCGAGUGUAGAGGUGACAUUCGUAGAUAUUCGGAGGAACACCAGUGGCGAAGGCGGCUCACUGGCUCGAUACUGACGCUGAGGUGCGAAAGCGUGGGGAGCG
rnacentral:rRNA from 1 species